CUCUGCAAGUGGAGCAAGUGCUCACCACCGAGCCAUCUCUCCAACCUUCAUAUUUGUAUUUGUUAGACAAGAAGUACAAAAGUGAGGCUGGGGAGAGGGUUUGCAGUGUGUAUUGCUCUUCUAAAGGACCACAGUU
ensembl:miRNA Mir3473g microRNA 3473g